UUAAACUCAAUAGGAAGAAGAGUAGCUUGUUGGAACUUUUACAGAGAACUUCGUUUGGUGAAAGAAGCAGAGGAAAAAUAAGUGAACAUGGUCUUUCUCGAGUGCUUGCUGAUAUUUAGGUGAGCACGGGUGCACCCGUUAUAGUGCUAGAGUAUGGUAGUACUUGAAGAGUCCUUUAUCGCGAGAUAAGGGAGAAUUAAGGUGGUAACACGAAGCUUUCGUCCUUUUA
rnacentral:ncRNA from 1 species